rnacentral:rRNA from 1 species
UACGAAGGGGGCUAGCGUUGCUCGGAAUUCCUGGGCGUAAAGCGCACGUAGGCGGCUUUCUAAGUCGGGGGUGAAAUCCUGGAGCUCAACUCCAGAACUGCCUUCGAUACUGGAGAGCUUGAGUCCGGGAGAGGUGAGUGGAACUGCGAGUGUAGAGGUGAAAUUCGUAGAUAUUCGCAAGAACACCAGUGGCGAAGGCGGCUCACUGGCCCGGUACUGACGCUGAGGUGCGAAAGCGUGGGGAGCAAACAGG